rnacentral:rRNA from 1 species
AUUGAAUGCUGGCGGCAGGCCUAACACAUGCAAGUCGAGCGAGUGGCGGACGGGUGAGUAAUGUCUGGGAAACUGCCUGAUGGAGGGGGAUAACUCCUGGAAACGGUAGCUAAUACCGCAUAUCAUCUUAUGUGUCCAGAUGGGCUUAGCUAGUCGGUGGUGUAACGGCUCACCUCGGCGACGAUCCCUAGCUGGUCCGAGAGGAUGACCAGCCACACUGGAACUGAGACACGGUCCAGAAACCGACGGAAGGCAGCAGUGGGGAAUAUUACAGAAUGGGCGCAGUCCUGAUGCAGCCGUGCCGCGUGUGUGAAGAAGGCUUUCGGGUUGUAUAGCACUUUAAGCGGGGAGGCGUUACCCGCAGAAGAAGCACCGGCUGACUCCGUGCCAGCAGCCGCGGUAAUAC